rnacentral:rRNA from 1 species
GACGAACUGUCCUAACGUUGUUCGGAAUCACUGGGCUUAAAGGGCGCGUAGGCGGUCGAUCAAGUCAGGGGUGAAAUCCUACAGCUUAACUGUAGAAGUGCCUUUGAUACUGGUUGUCUUGAGGGAGGUAGGGGUGUGUGGAACUCACAGUGGAGCGGUGAAAUGCGUUGAUAUUGUGAGGAACGCCGGAGGCGAAAGCGACGCACUGGACCUCUUCUGACGCUGAGGCGCGAAAGCUAGGGGAGCAAACGGG